rnacentral:rRNA from 1 species
GACGAACGCUGGCGGCGUGCUUAACACAUGCAAGUCGAACGGAAGGGCGCUGCUUUUGUGGGGUGCUCGUGAGGGGCACGGGGGGGAAUAACUCGUGAAUCACCCACUUAUAGUCGGGGAAAAUUGCGGAAACCGGGAUCAAAUCCGGGAAUAUAUUGUGAACCGCGGGUUUCAAAUGUAAAAGGGGGUCGUUCUGACAUUUAUAUGUGGAUCCGCGCUGCAUUAGCUAGUUGGUAAGGUAACGGCUUACCAAGGCAACGAUGCAUAGCCGACCUGAGAGGGUGAUCGGCCACACUGGAACUGAGACACGGUCCAGACUCCUACGGGAGGCAGCAGUAGGGAAUCUUCCGCAAUGGGCGAAAGCCUGACGGAGCAACGCCGCGUGAGUGAUGAAGGUCUUCGGAUCGUAAAACUCUGUUAUUAGGGAAGAACAUAUGUGUAAGUAACUGUGCACAUCUUGACGGUACCUAAUCAGAAAGCCACGGCUAACUACGUG